rnacentral:rRNA from 1 species
AUUCCAGCUCCAAUAGCGUAUAUUAAAGUUGUUGCGGUUAAAAAGCUCGUAGUUGGAUUUCUGCUGAGGACGAUCGGUCCGCCCUCUGGGUGAGCAUUGACUCGGCCUUGGCAUCUUCUUGGAGAACGCUACUGCACUUGACUGUGUGGUGCGGUAUCCAGGACUUUUACUUUGAGGAAAUUAGAGUGUUUCAAGCAGGCGCACGCCUUGAAUACAUUAGCAUGGAAUAAUAAGAUAGGAUCUGAUGCCUAUUUUGUUGGUUUCUAGGCGUGAGAUAAUGAUUAAUAGGGACAAUUGGGGGGAUUCGUAUUAUGGCGUCAGAGGUGGAAUUCUUGGAUUGCCAUACGACGAACUACUGCGAAAGCAUUUCUCAGGGAUGUUUUCAUCA